CCUACGGGUGGCAGCAGUGAGGAAUAUUGGUCAAUGGGCGAGAGCCUGAACCAGCCAAGUCGCGUGAAGGAUGAAGGAUCUAUGGUUUGUAAACUUCUUUUAUAUGGGAAUAAAGUGAGGAACGUGUUCCUUUUUGUAUGUACCAUAUGAAUAAGCAUCGGCUAACUCCGUGCCAGCAGCCGCGGUAAUACGGAGGAUGCGAGCGUUAUCCGGAUUUAUUGGGUUUAAAGGGUGCGUAGGUGGUUAAUUAAGUCAGCGGUGAAAGUUUGUGGCUCAACCAUAAAAUUGCCGUUGAAACUGGUUGACUUGAGUAUAUUUGAGGUAGGCGGAAUGCGUGGUGUAGCGGUGAAAUGCAUAGAUAUCACGCAGAACUCCGAUUGCGAAGGCGGCCUACUGGACGGUGACUGACGCUGAGGCUCGAAAGCGUGGGGAGCAAACAGGAUUAGAUACCCUAGUAGUC
rnacentral:rRNA from 1 species